UUUGACCUUAUCACCUUUUUUUCCUCCUCUUCAUCCCGAAUCCCGCACCGAGCUCCUCUCCCCGUGCCCUAAAACGCCAUUUCCGCCGCUCCUCUCCCCAUGCCCUAACUCCGCACUUCCACCACUCCUCUCCCCGUGCCCUAACAUCGGGCCUCCGCCGCUCCUCUCCCCAUCCCUAACCUCGCGCUUCUGUCGCACCACCGCUCCUCCUUCGCCCCCUGUUGCUCACACACCGCCACCCCUUUGCUAGUUCCGCAUCCCGUCUGUUGAGCUCGCCUCCUCCAUAUUUUCCCGUGAUCCCUUCCGUUCGUUGCAUCCUCGACACAUUGUGCGCGGUCCCCUUCCGUCCAUCACCUCCUCCACAAAUUGGGCGUGCAGUCACUUCCAUCUAUUGGGAAUUCGAGACAUAACUACUCCCUACACAAGUGGAGGUGCCUGAAAGCGUAGAAUCAUCUUCUCACUCGAGCAGUUCUUCUUUACAAAGAUAGCAAAAAGCUCAACGAAAUUUGAAACACAUGUACAACAAAGAAACUAUGGCAUCGCGCAGAACUAUUUUGUACCCCUGAUUUUGUACAUAGAAAAUAUAUGACAGUAUUAUCAGCAUGUUUACCUGUAAAUUUGUGGAUCCAAGUUCGUAAAUUUACUUUUGGAUUAUUUAAUUUUUGUAACACUGAAUUAAAGUUUGUGCGAAGAAUUCCUAUUAUAGUGUGGAUUAGAUAA